GAAUUUUAUAUAAGGUAUAAUUAAUAAUAUUAAUAUUUUUUUUAAUUGACUUUUUAUUUAGUUGGGAGAACUAUUAAAUUUUAAAAAUUUUAAUAUUUAUUAACUAUUUAUAAAUAAAUAUAUGAAUGGUAUUUAUAUGAUUUAAGAAUUAAUUACCUUAGGGAUAACAGCGUUAUAUUCUUGGAGAGUUCGUAUUGAUAAGAAUGUUUGU
rnacentral:rRNA from 1 species